GACGAACCGUGCGAACGUUGUUCGGAUUCACUGGGCUUAAAGGGCGCGUAGGCGGGUGAUCAAGUCCGGGGUGAAAUCCUUCAGCUCAACUGGAGAAUAGCCUUGGAUACUGGUCGCCUCGAGGGAGGUAGGGGCGGGCGGAACUUCCGGUGGAGCGGUGAAAAUGCGUAGAUAUCGGGAGGAACACCUGUGGCGAAAGCGGCGCACUGGACCACAACUGACGCUGAGGCGCGAAAGCUAGGGGGAGCAAAACAGG
rnacentral:rRNA from 1 species